UGAUGGGCAGAAAUUGUGGUUUAAGAUGGCUUUUUACUGUAUUCCAGAAUGGGUUAAUUUUUUCCUAACUACUUGUGUCUUUCCUCUUGCUUUAUGCAGCCUUGCCUUUACAGGCAAGUGAUAACUUUAGGGUCAAUUACUCUGUUAUCCAAUGAGUGAUAAGACAUCAGUGUUGAUUUUUCUGUCUGUAAGGGAUUUUCAUGGGAAAGAAGAAAACCCAUCAUGUCAGGUGAUUCUUCAAAGGACCCAGUGUGAACACAGGCUCAGAGAAGCCCUGCUGUCACUGCAGCACGCUUAUUUUGAAGAUAAGUGUGAAUCAGCAUGCUGUUCUUAUAGGCAAAGAAGUAGCAGCAAGAAAUCUCAGACUAUGCAAGAGGAUCAUGACCUGGCAAUCAGAGGAUUUCUGCACUGAUCCAAGCCAGAAAAAAUGCUACUUUGCUUGGUGGACACUUCCCAUGGAUUUCUUACACAUCCACAUCCAAGGAGUGGAUGUAUCUGUCACGCACACCAAGCUGCUAACACCCGUGUGGUCUUGGUAGGAAAAUGCAAAGGAAAUCCAAAAGUGCUGGCCUUGACUCCCUUCCUCACUGUCCUUCCAUACCUGCUCUGCCUUGGCUUUGUGCCCUGCUCCCUCCCUAGCGCUCUUAUCUCCCACUGAACCUGAGAAACAAAUGCUUGUGGAAGCUAAGUCGUCCCCAGCUGUUCGCUCUGUUCCUGAGCUCCCUUCCUCCCUCUCAUUCCUUUUGGAUCUGUUUCUAAACUUUUUGGGGCAGCAACUACUUUUCUGCAUGCAACAUCAAUGGACACUGUUCUUGGCUGGCCUCAAGGCACAACUGGAAUAAAUGUGAAUAACAACAACAGUG
rnacentral:lncRNA from 1 species